rnacentral:rRNA from 1 species
GAUGAACGCUAGCGGCAGGCCUAAUACAUGCAAGACGAACGGUAAGUUGAGUAGCAAUACUUAGCCAAGAGUGUCGUACGGGUGCGUAACACGUAUGCAACCUACCCUAUACAGGAGGAUAGCCUAGGGAAACCUGGAUUAACCCUUCAUAGUAUUAUUGGAUGGCAUCAUUUGAUAAUUAAAACUGAGGUGGUAUAGGAUGGGCAUGCGUCUGAUUAGUUAGUUGGCGGGGUAAUGGCCCACCAAGACGAUGAUCAAUAGGGGACCUGAGAGGGUGAUCCCCCACACUGGCACUGAGAUACGGGCCAGACUCCUACGGGAGGCAGCAGUAGGGAAUAUUGGACAAU